rnacentral:rRNA from 1 species
UACGUAGGGGGCAAGCGUUGUCCGGAUUUAUUGGGCGUAAAGAGCGUGUAGGCGGCUAGGUAGGUCCGUUGUGAAAACUCGAGGCUCAACCUCGAGACGCCGGUGGAAACCAUCUAGCUAGAGUCCGGAAGAGGAGAGUGGAAUUCCUGGUGUAGCGGUGAAAUGCGCAGAUAUCAGGAGGAACACCGGUGGCGAAGGCGGGAUCCUGGGCCAGUACUGACGCUGAGGAGCGAAAGCAUGGGGAGCAAACAGG